rnacentral:lncRNA from 1 species
CAGCAACUGCAGAUAGGCAAGGCACGUGUCAUGGGCUCAAGGAGAUCUGCCAGCCCCCAUGGCUGCUCCGCUGCACCCAGCUGCAUCAGCUGCUUAAGAAAACAUCACUGAUGAUGCAUCUUUAAAUUACUCAUCAUGUUCCUAAUCCUUUUAGAUACAUACAUGACAUAUCUCAAGUAUCCUGUAAUCCCAGCAUUUUUACUUUACAUAUUUAUCUAGACUCUUCUGUAAUUCUCAUACUUCAUUUAUCCUUUUCUUCAAGACAUAGAAUAUCUGUUUGCCAGAGUUAUGCUGAUACAAAUGGCCGGCCUGUCUGAGGACUUGGUGAAAUUUUGCCAUCAAAAGCAACCAAAAAAUUGAGUCAUUAAAUUUGCCACGGCACGAAGGAGAGGAAAAAGUCCGUUGAGAUAUGAAAGAGUAUUCAUAAAUAAUGAAAAGAUUCUUCGUCUGUUGUAACAAGUAUGACGACUUCCAGUGAAAGGAUGAAAAUCUGGCCCAAGCUGAGUCCAUUGCAAAAUUCCCAUUGGCCUCAAACGGGCUGGAGUUUCACCUGAGUAACAAAAGUGAUGAGAAGAUGAGGAUUGACAUACUGUUUUGGAAAGAUUGCAAGCUUUUUGGAGCAAAAAGAAAACACAGGAAUAAAAUUCUCUUCUUUGCCCUGCUUUUGGCUGAGGCCUCAAGAUACCACUGUAAUAAAAUCCAGUGGUUUGAUGCAAAGUGCCACUGAAGAAGAGCAGUUUCCGCUGGAUCUGCGUGCUGCAUUAAUGCUCGUGUUGAUUGAGAACCACAACCUCAGCCACUCAACUCUGGGGAACUGGCUGGUUUAAUGUUUAUGUGCUCUUGAGAUGUGAAGCAUUCUCUUCUGCUCUGAACCUGGAACUCCCCUUCUUUGAACUUGAUGCGCUUCUGGAUGUGUGAAUGAAGAUUGCUGCCCUGGAGCGGAUAAAUAUUUUUCCAUCUGUGUUUUUUUUCUGUAAGAGUACACUGAAUGUUUUUGCUUCAAACACUUUACUCUUUCUUUUUUUCAUUAAAGAGGAAAUGAAUAGAGACUUUUGACGUGAAUCUGAAUCAUGGACUUGUGUUGCCUUAUAAUGGUUGUACUUCAUGUACCUGUAUCCUUCCUAGCACUAGAGCCAGAUGUUAUAGACACGUGUGUUGUGGAAGACCCCUAGGACUACUCACUGGCUUCACUGCUGUGGUGCAUUGGAGGAACUUUUUUUUCUCCUCCUGCCUUUUCUUCUAACCCAUCUUGUAGUGUUGACUGCCAGAGUCUAUACAAGUUACUUUGACAAUGUUUUCCUCAGUGUGUCAUGCUUAUUACUAAGCUGACAUGUGGUUAGUCCAGCAAGAGGGCUGUCAUUGCUAGCCAAUACAGUAUUAUAUUUGCAGCCCUGAUAGGUUUUAGUAAUGGACUUGUUUCCACCUACUAACUGAUUGUAGAAAGGAGGGCGAUUAUCCUAGGUGGCCAAGAUAUCCUGGGCUAUUGCUGGGCUUCCAGUCCUGUUUGUUCACCCACGCUUUUCUUGUGGGUCGUUCAAACUAGUUCUGCAAACUGAACAUAAGGAACGUGUCAUGGGCUUUGGAGAGAUAUAAAACCAUCAAGGACAUGCUGAGAGGUCAGGUAAGUGAGAAGCCAAGCCUGUGGUGGUGAUAUACAUGCUUUCUGCUGCUCUACCACCAGCACUGGGCGACAGAAAUUUCUAGUUCAAGCAUAUGAAAUGGUCUUUGGGAAUCAAAUAGUUCACCGUCUCUGCCAUUUCUGUUUCUGUCUUCAGCUGAUACGUGACCUGCUUGUUUCUCGUGUAGCUCAGAACCUGCCUAGGAAAUUCCUCAGGCCUUUUCUUAGGCUUGAUUCUGCCCGCUAACCAUGGCCUUCUCCAGAAACUUUGCAAGUUAAUGGAAACGCUUCAUCUCUUGGCAUGAUGUUGAAGGAAUCCUCAGUUGAGCUGAAUUAAGAUGUUUUCACAAGGUGGUGGUGGAAUAGAAAUGUGCUGGAUCAUUCAUAUAAAAGCUAGUUAGGAAUAGCCCUCCUUAAAAUUAUUCCCAAUUACCACUUUCUGUUUUUUUCUUUAAGCUAUUUAGCUUCUGACUUAAAAUAAUUAAAUCUGCAUUACAGUCCUAAACUUGAGAGAGGAAGAGCAUGAGAGAAGAUAUUGCAAAAGUGAAUGCUGACUUCAAGCAGUAAGCAUUUAAGGCCCCCAUUAGGGACCUUAAGGCAUUUUAUGAGAUGUUUGUGGAGCAAAAUCCUUUCUGUGAAGGUUUCACUGGGGGACAAAGCGUGUGUGUGUAUGUACCUUUUAGUUUUAUAGUGCUAUCUAGAGCAGUUGCUAUUUACAGUAAUUGUCCAGAAUUCUGCUCAUCAACUUAAUCCUUAAAGUAGCACAUUUUAUAGCAGUACCACACGAAAAAUUUCACACUGAAUUUGUCUCAGUAUGUAUAGUUUUACUGAAAUCAAUUACCAGGUAUUUUUCUGGAUGGUCUGCUUAGAGUGAAGAUGUUACAAACAACACACUUUCUCAGAAGUACCAUUUUGGGUUGUAUGACUAUGCAGGCUUUGAUUCGCUAUAAUAGCAUCUCACUUACAGCGUAUGGUAAAGCAAUUCUUAGCACUUGCAUAGCAUUUAAGAUCUCCUAAGCAAGUGAAAUCUUCAACUAAUCCUUCUAAGCAGUCCUGUGGAAAUAUUUCGUGUUUGUGUUUUGCAAUAACGCGGAAUGAGAAUUCCCUGUGACUUGCCACAGGCUACGCAGCAAGCAAGCGGUAGAACAGGGAUUAAGAUUUGAAAACUUGGCUCAAUCCCACACUCAACCCACUAGAUAUCACUAUCUCUUCUAAUCAAACCUGUGAAACUACACUAUCUUACACACCAUCUGUUGUGCAAAUUUCCUUGGGGAACUUCAAGGCUUUUCUUCCCCUACACUUCAGACUCUCUGGAAACUGAUUUAAAAAAAACAAAAAAAGUAAUGCUGAACCAGAAUGGAUACAUAUGACUUAUUCCUGUGAUGUAUUAGUCUGAAUGUUGGAAUUAAUUUAUUAUUGAGGAAAAUGAAAGGUUGAUAUAGGACGUUUCAGACUUUUUUUUCUUUGUUAGGCAAAAUUUUUUUUUCCAUGAUGAAAACAAAGGGGAAGAAACAACUUUAUUUCUGUCUUCCAGCUGCCUCUGUCACAAGCCUUUUGAUUCAGUGAUUUACCAGAAUUUACCCAUUGGCACAACAGUUAUUUUUAGACCUGUUGCUAGAUUUCAACUAAAGCUCACUGAUGUUUACGAAUUAUUCAUUUAAGCACUGAUUUGAAAAUAAUAAUAAUAUAUUUCUCUCUAACAGUGUGUCAGGAAAGCAUAAAAUGUAGCCAUUCUGGAAGCAGUAAUUGCAGGCAACAGUUUAUUGGGAGAUAAUUCAAGUUUGAAUGACAUCAAAAAAUACAAGCCACAAAUAAACAAAAGCAGGAGUUGAAAUGCCUGCUCCCC